GGGGCUGACUUGGAUUUCGACAGAUUUCUUGUCGCACAGACAGCAUGCCAAGUGCUACUUGUAAAACAGCAACAAAAAUAACUGUAAACAACACAGAUUACGCUCCAGCUUACGCUAAAGUUGCGUGAGUUAAUCUCCUUUUGGAGCUGGACUGAUUAGAAUUUCUAGCGUUUUAAUCACUCCAUAACCUUAAGCUAGACGCUUUUAAAAGGUGGUUCGCCUUUUAAACUAAGAAACAAGAACUCUUGAAACUACCUCAAGGUUUUAGAAAGUUGGACCAGAGCUAGUUUUAAGGCUAAAAAAUUAACCAAUUUUCUAAGCAUUGUAGAAGUUUGUGUUUAGGGCAAGAUUUUUGGACUGGGGUUCGAUUCCCCACAGCUCCACCA
rnacentral:tmRNA from 1 species